UUCCUGUAGAGAUAGGUCACGCCGUCUCCGUCUCACAGCCUCGGCCCCGCUCUUUAACCCCAGUCGACAGUCUGCAGCUCCCGUCCUCCCUCCUCACCGCUGCUGGAUUCAGCCUGAUUGAUGAGUCCUAAUGAGUUUGGGGAGCUUAAACAUGGCUGGAACCUCUCUGGGAGCGCUAUUCUCUCUCCUGUUCCUUGCAUCUAUUACACAAGGGUACAAGGCUGUUGAUCUGUUUUGUUAUGAAUCCUGGCCAGCAGACGUGGGCCAGGAUGUCGCUCUGCCCUGUAGUAUAAAACAGAGAGAUGAUUUCAAGAUCGACAGCAUUCAAUGGACAAAGAAAAUGGGGAAAAAUGAGAAUAAGCUUGCAGUCUAUAGUCCAAUGCAUGGUCUUCAUCAGUUUAUGACUAAUGUGACGAUAGAGACUAUGGAGGACGAUGCAAACAGCUGGCUUGGCUUCCCCGUACGCCUCUCUGCUGUGACUGUAUGGGACAGUGGCGUCUAUAUCUGUGGUAUUACAACGUUUCCUCACGGCCCUCUGAGAUGUGAAACGGAGCUGAAAAUCAAAGACAUUGAUAAAAUCACAUGUGAUGUGAAUGGUACUGUUGAGGCCCUAAGUGGAGAGAAUGUGACCAUCCGCUGUGCAGCCAUUCCUAACAUUCAGUACAGAUGGACCAAGAACCAGAACUUGGUUUCAGACACGGAAUCACUGAAUCUCUGGCAAGUGACUGAAGCCGACACAGGGACUUACACGCUGACUGUCAACACAGGAAGCAAAUAUCUGCACGAGGAGUUUAAUAUCACUGUGCUGACAGUGAGCUUAACAACAGAUCUGUCAACGCGUUCGGUCGUUACCACACAGGCUCCCACCGACUCAACAGUCAGCAGCCUCGGCACCACUUUCCAGCCAUCGUCAACCACUGGACUACAAACCACUGGACCACAAACUACUGGACUGCAAACUACUGGACUGCAAACCACUGGGCUGCAAACCAAUAGCACCAGUGUAACGUGGACCAGGAGCUUGACCUCUGAUGUGACCGACGCUUCCACCAAAGUCAGCAAUGCUACAAAUCCACCUGACGAGCAUAAAACCCCGUUUACAAACAACACCCACUUCAUCACCGCCACCGCAAAUCCACCACUCAACUCUACAUUAAGGUCCAGCAGUGCAGCGUUCAACCGAACACACGCAACGACCAGCGGCGGGAUGCUAAAUGCGUCUGCGACUCAGCCAAACAAUGUUACCGCGAAUGCGCCAGAGGAGUCCAGCAUCACGGACAAUCCUGCAGCAGAACACACCACUAAACCAAGAGUAGAAGGUAAUGAGCGGAGUCAUCUUCUGGUGUUAAUAAUGGUUCCAUUGCUGCUAUUGAUCGCUGUGGUCGCCUUUCUCAUCAGGAGACGCGUAAUAAAACAGAGGAUGGACCUGCCGCCUUCAUUCAAACCCCCUCCUCCUCCAGUCAAGUAUGCAGCUGCAGUCUACCAACGGCGUGAGAUUUCUGCUACCUCUUACCCCGUUUCAAGGUGUAACUCGCUAGCAGAGUGCAUAUGAUAUAUAUAUUUAUAUUUAUAUAUGGUGGUUUGCAUGAUAUAUUGCACAGCAGUGUAUCCGGCCUCAAGUACAGAAGUACAAAAUGUGAAGCUCACAUAUAACUGUGGUCAGUUUCUGGUACAGUUACAGUAGCUAAAUGUAGGUUGUGUGUAUAUACUGUACGUGAGCUGUGGUACAUGCUAUUGUCUCUUAGAUGUUUCGAUUGUUUUGGCCGUAUUGGUCACAGUGAAAAUGACGUUGAUUGUAUUAAAUGGAAUAACGAAAAGUUUGUGUCACCUGAAAAUAAACUUUGUAAACUUUACGGUGAACUGUGAUUU
rnacentral:lncRNA from 1 species